ensembl:lncRNA
UUUUUCUGCCCUAUUACAUACCAUUUUAUUCAUCAUACUUAACAAAGCUAAACCUGUACAAGUUUGUACACAUCGCAUUGAAAGAACUGUUCACUAGCUUAAAAAAAAAGUAACAAAACAUCAGAAACAUUAAACUUAUGGUCCCUUUUACAAGGUUUGUGCAUCGGCAUCAACAGAUCAGCUCCAAGCCUCUGAGAGGAAAACACCUUCGCGGGGAAGCUCAUGCCGCAGCGACCCCUGCCGGGCCGCCUGGAGCGGGACCGAGCUGGCACCCGCAGCGACCUCGACGUGACAUUACAGCCAUUAGUAAAGAAUUAGACGUUUAAACAGUAAAGAUAAUUCGGAUCGAAACUACAUAUACAGUUAAAGACAUAGGUAAACAUACAUGACUGUUUAAUUCAAGAUCACAUUUUUACAUAGGAGAAAUAUUACAUUUCAAUCUACCAGUAUGGCUUUAUCCAUGAACAGGUGGGCAUUUUCAGAUUUAAAACCCAAAACUGUUAGUUGUCUAAGAAAACUAAAGAAAAACCCCAUAAUUAUUAGUUAUGUUAGGAAGAAUUAAUAUCAAGAAAUGAAGGUGAUAUCAAAGUGAAGUUUGUAACAUCAAGAUAGACACCACUAGGGUUUAGAUUUGGAAGACAUUUCACCUUCAAUUUUAUUAUUUGUCAUAACUGUGGCAGCAUAUUUCAUCUGUGAACUUUCAUCUUAGAAUACUGAAAAAUAAGGUGUCACUUUUUAAUUCAAUAGAUUGAAAUGCACCUAAGCAAAGCAAAAUUAAAGUUCAAAGGCUAACGAAAGCAUUUAGCUGAACUCAGUUUUGGCUUGAGGACAUGCACAAAAUUAAAAAACUAAAAUAAAUAAACAGCUUUUGGCAUUUAUCCACAGUAAACUGCAAGGUGAUUUAAGAAAAGACAGCUAAUAAACGUGAUCAGGUCACAGUGAAACUGUACAAGCCAUUAGUUCACAUUUAAACAACAAAUCUGAUUGCAGUUUUGAGCACAAACCAUAACUUAAAAUCCUAUUUUAUUCAAAUUUGAAAAACUAUAUUGAUUUUAAGUAGUUUAAAUACAUUCAUUCCCAAAGUUUUACAGUAACUGAUGAUUUUCAAUCACACACACAACCAAGUUAUAAAUCCCUGAAAUGUGGAUUUAUUAUAGGAAUACUGAUAAAACCUUGACAGAGAUACAAAUGACACGUCACAUAGUGUCUUACACCUUAAUGGUAAAUACUUGACCACCCUGGAUUGGUAGAUGCAUCACUCCUACUGUUAUACUCUAAUAUCAUCCUCUAGGACCAACUGGUUUAAAUUGAAUUCACAACAGUUUGCAGUUACCUAAAAAAAGAUGGUUUUUUUCAUUUUUUUUUUUAAUUACACUAUAAAAUAUUAAUCUUCUAACCAGUAUUUCAAAAGUUCUGGAAACAGAAUUUCCCAGUUAUAAUGAGGACUAAACAUACUAAGUAAAGAGAGUCAUUGUGGUGAAUUUUAGAAAGCCAUUUCAGAACAGUGCCCUUCCAGAGGUUUAAUAUACAGCAGUGCGUCCCUUGACAUAGGUUAACUGGUGCAUGUUUAUCUAUGCACCCCAGGGCCUUACUCUACCACUAGAUCUUGGGACUUUCAAAGUUAAUCUCAUUCUGGCACUGACUUUCUGUGGAGUAGGGCAAUUUCCAAAUGAAAGGCACUCCGUUGUAUGAGUGAAAUCAGCAGCAGCAGCAAUGCAAAUGGGCAACUUGUAACAUACUGAAGAGAACUGCUGUAGCCAACAUGAGGUCUAAAAUUAAGUACUUCCCUUAAAAAACGUGGAAAAAUAUAGAACAGCUCUAGUGCAUGUGUUCACAUGCACACAGACACUAGCCACUGUACAAGCUGAGACCUUCCAAGUAUCUCAACUAUUGUUUGGUUUUGUUUCCCCCUGCAAUGUUUUUUUACACUUGGGCAGAAACAAGUGAAACUGCACUGCUAGCUGACUUGCAGAAUAAUCUGUAGAUCACCACUGCAUCACUUCCUGCAGCCCACAGCACGCAGGUCUGGAGAGUAAGUCGCAAGCGUGGUUCUCUCCAGUAGAACAAGAGCACAGGCACCCACUACUAGUUGGUCCCACUUAUUAUUCCUCCACACACCUUUCUUCGUUUUUUCCCCUCUCCAAUUCCCCCUCCUCAUAAGAAAAAAAAAAAUAAAAAUCUUGGGAAUAAAGCUUUCCUUAAGGAUAGGAAAACUCAUACAUGUUAGUCUGAAUAAGUGAUGUGCAAAACAGAAGUAAUUUCCCUGAGGCAAAGAUCUUCAAGUCAUGCCUAGCUUACAUUGUCUAUUCUUACUUCAAGCUGUUGAAUUAUUUGGCACAACGAGGCCUUGAUCACUGACUGAGUCUCAUAGCAUUAUCGCAGUCUACGUAACAUUUAUACAACAAAGUAGAAGUUACAAAUGCUUCAUACUCUCACUCUAUUUUGGUUUCUCACAUUUACUCGUUAACAUCUCUUUCCUCCUCAAGGGUGGCAUUGGGCCUUGUGGGCAAAAGGUAGAAUGACAAACUUCUACUGUAUUUCAAGGUUGCCAUGAAUACUGAGUGCCUAAAAGGGCAAUCAUAGUAGUUACUGGACUCUAUCCAUGGAGUAACAUGGUAAAAAUUAAUAGCCUGUUAUAUAGAGGUCAAAGGUAGGUGAUUUAAUAGUCUUUUCUGGACUUAUAUUACAAAAAAAAUCCAGGGAAAUUAAUAAAAAAAAAAAAAAAAAGGAAAAAAAAAAA